GUGCCAGCAGCCGCGGUAAUACGGAGGGUGCAAGCGUUGUCCGGAAUCACUGGGUGUAAAGCGCGCGUAGGCGGAUUGGAAAGUAUGGGGUGAAAUCCCGGGGCUCAACCCCGGAACUGCCUCCAAAACUACUGGUCUAGAGUUCGAGAGAGGUGAGUGGAAUUCCGAGUGUAGAGGUGAAAUUCGUAGAUAUUCGGAGGAACACCAGUGGCGAAGGCGGCUCACUGGCUCGAUACUGACGCUGAGGUGCGAAAGUGUGGGGAGUAAACAGGAUUAGAAACCCUGGUAGUCC
rnacentral:rRNA from 1 species